AAGUUAGUCUCCAAGACCUUUGCAUAAUGUUGUCUGUGGUAUUUUUAAUUUUUUGUCACUGUAUAAAGGUAUCCUAUAACAAUGUCAUAACUUUUGUUUAGCUGGUGUAUACGGAUUCCAUUUAAACUAUAUAUCCUUGUUUCAAUGUCACUUUUGUGCAACUUUGUUUAUUUUCACCCUUGUGUUAUACACUUUAUUGAAGAAAUGCACGAUUUCUUUUAAGUUGGUCUCCAAGACCUUUGCAUAAUGUUAUCUGUGGUAUUUUUAAUUAUUUUUUUUUUGUCUCUGUAUAUAGGUUUUCCAUUAACAAUUUAACAAUGCUUUUUUGUUUCAAUUUCACUUUUGUGCAAUUUUGUUUUAAUUUCACCCUUCUGUUGUACGCUUUAUGGAAGGAAUGUACAAUUUCCUCAAGGUAAGUCUCAAAGACCUCCUCUGCAUAAUGUUGUAUGUAGUAUUUUUAAUUAUUUUUCCUCUCCAUCUACGCAUCCUAUUAUAACAAUGUCAUAACUUUUAUUAUGUAGUACUCAUAGUUUUCAGUAAUUUUUUUCAAGCUGUGUACUACAUUUAAGACAUGCACAAUGCUCUGAAGUGAGUUGCAGAGGACCUCCUUUGCAUUAAGAAUGUUAUCUGUCUACUGCUGAAGGAGAGGAUUAACUUAGGCUACAAAAUACCAUGUAUUACAACAAAUUUGGCCAAUAAAUAAUAAUAAAAAUC